UAAGUAUAAACACUUUUAUACUCGUAAAACUGCGAAUGGCUCAUUAAAACAGUUAUCGUUCCUUUGGGAACUUUUGCUACUUGGAUAACCGUAGUAAUUCUAGAGCUAAUACAUGCCUGAACGCCCAACUCACGGAGGGCGGUAUUUAUUGGAUAAAAAACCAAUGCACUUCUUCGGUCGUGCCUUGAGAUGAUUCAUAAUAACUUGUCGGAUCGUAUGGCCUCGUGCCGGCGACCGCUCAUUCAAAUUUCUGCCCUAUCAACUUUCGAUGGUAGAGUAUUGGUCUACCAUGGUGUCGACGGGUGACGGGGAAUUAGGGUUCGAUUCCGGAGAGGGAGCCUGAGAAACGGCUACCACAUCCAAGGAAGGCAGCAGGCGCGCAAAUUACCCAAUCCCAACUCGGGUGU
rnacentral:rRNA from 1 species